GGCUUCGUAGUUCAACUGGAUAGAAUAUCGGAUUUCGGCUCCGAGGGUUGGGGGUUCGAACCCCUCCGAAGUCACCU
rnacentral:tRNA from 1 species